UACGUAGGUGGCAAGCGUUGUCCGGAUUUAUUGGGUUUAAAGGGUGCGUAGGCGGCCAAUUAAGUCAGUGCUGAAAUAUCCCGGCUCAACCGGGAGGGUGGCAUUGAUACUGAAUGGCUUGAGUAGAGUUGAGGUUGGCGGAAUUGACGGUGUAGCGGUGAAAUGCUUAGAUAUCGUCAAGAACACCGAUAGCGAAGGCAGCUAACUAAGCUCAAACUGACGCUGAGGCACGAAAGUGUGGGGAUCAAACAGG
rnacentral:misc_RNA from 1 species